GGGAAAUCCAGUGCUUUCAUUUCAUACCCGAGCUCAAAGAUAAACAACACGAAGCAGGAAAAUCCCAACUUCUCCUCAUCUGCCAGACUAUGAAAACAAUCCCAUGGGCUGAAGCAUCUGCAGAAUAAACUGGAGUGGGAAAGUUAAUAGCUUACAGCUGAAAUCCUUCUCUUGCAAGAUUCCCAGCUGCUGGAAGUGAGUUUACUAGGGAACGAAGUGGUCAGGGAUCGAAAACUUAUUUUGGAUGCUUGUCAGCUUUCAGAAUAAUACCAAAACGCUGGAGGUCUGCAGCAUCUUUCACCUCAGGAUCUCACCCACCUGGGACACUUGAUGGGCUCCCUCCAGAAAACAGCUGUCUGCCUCUUGUUCCUGUCCAUUUUCUCUAGUGCCUCCAACAGCACAUUUGCAACCUUCAACUGCAAUGCUGUCAAGACAGAAUAUAAAAAAACGGCAGUAAUUUCAUGCACUGGCAACAUGAAAAUUACAAACAUAGUAGUUAAGCGCUGUGAAAGGUGUAAUAAACAGAACUCAUCCUUAGAAACUAUUAUUAACACGUGGAAAGGAAACUAUUCCAGUGAAAAGGGAAGAAUUCGGUUGGAGCUACAAGACAACGUUUCGAAAGUGCACAUACAGGAAGUUAAAGCAACUGAUCAAGGAGGUUAUAAAUGGCAUCUUUAUUCUGACAGUGGGGAAGGCAAUGGAUGUAUCAACCUUGAGAUUACAGCUCCUGAAAUUGAGCCUAGCCUCACCUGGAACGGAAGAGUGCUCGCCUGCCUGUCACCUACAGGGCAUCCACAAAGGCAGGUCCAUUGGUUUGAUGGUCACAGGAAUAAUCUGACAGGCAGUGCAAGCCUGGUGUCUGAGGAAGCAGAAGGUGGCUUAACCAGCCUUACCAGCACUCUCCAUGAGAAACCCACCUUAACUGCCUCCGAGUAUUGCUGCGCUGUGCUGUAUGAUGUGCACACCAAGAGAAACAAAACCAAGUGCCUUAGUGCCCACAAAGCAGUUGCCGAUUACCUUCAUUUCACCUCAACAUCAGGUAUAAGAUAUAGCAGAAACACUUCGAGUUUCAUCCAGAAAUCAAUCGUCUCCUGAUGAUGUGACGUUAGCAGGUGUCAUGUGCAGAAUUCUUGCUCCCUGGCUGGAAGGGGGUGACUGGAAGUUCUCAGAGUACUAGUUCUCAUGCCAUUAUUAGUGAGCACCACCAACAUAUUGUUCCAGGA
rnacentral:lncRNA from 1 species